GCCCAGGUGGUGGAAUUGGUAGACACGCUAGUUUCAGGUACUAGAGUCCGUAAGGAUGUACGAGUUCAAGUCUCGUUCUGGGCA
rfam:Treponema succinifaciens DSM 2489, complete genome.